AUACGUUAUCUCAUCAAAAUCCAUAGCCUUUCUCUCUCUCUUUCUUCUCAUUUCUUUUCUCAGAAGUUUUCCUUUCACCUGUUUGCUUUUUUUCCUCACUUUUUUUUGUGAUUUUGGAAAUACACAUCUUGUGUAUCUCAUGAAUCGAGAUCAUGGAGAAUAUUCCCUCCAACUGUAAUCAUUUUGAGGAUCCGAAAAUCACAUUUAGGCCCCAUAGCUUUAUGCAAGAAUAUCAAGAACUUCAUAUGUCACAACGACAAGCCUAUGUUGUUAGACAUCGUUUGAUUCCUCGCGCAUCUCUUGAACCAGCAAGUCAAAGAGAUUGACUCAAAUGAUGAUUGAGGAGAAA